rnacentral:tRNA from 1 species
UUUUAUAUAGUUUAAAUAAAACAAUAUAUUUUCAAUAUAUAAAUAAAAUAUUAUUUUUAUAAAAU